GAUGAACGCUGGCGGCGUGCCUAACACAUGCAAGUCGAGCGAACAGAUGAGGAGUUUGCCCCUUUGACGCUAGCGGCGGACGGGUGAGUAACACGUGGGUAACCUACCUAUAAGACUGGAAUAACUCCGGGAAACCGGGGCUAAUGCCGGAUAAGAUGUUGAACCGGAUGGUUCUACAGAGAAAGGCGGCUUUGCUGUCACUCGUAGAUGGACCCGCGCCGGAUUAGCUAGUUGGUGGGGUAACGGCUCACCAAGGCAACGAUGCGUAGCUGACCUGAGAGGAUGAUCGGCCACACUGGAACUGAGACACGGUCCAGACUCCUACGGGAGGCAGCAGUAGGGAAUCUUCGGCAAUGGGCGAAAGCCUGACGCAGCAACGCCGCGUGAGUGAUGAAGGUCUUCGGAUCGUAAAACUCUGUUAGUAGGGAGGAACGAAUGCGAGUGUAACUGUGCGCGUCUUGACGGUACCUAAACAGAAAGCCACGGCUAACUACGUG
rnacentral:rRNA from 1 species